UACGAAGGGGGGCUAGCGUUGCUCGGAAUCACUGGGCGUAAAGGGCGCGUAGGCGGCGUUUUAAGUCGGGGGUGAAAGCCUGUGGCUCAACCACAGAAUGGCCCUCGAUACUGGGACGCUUGAGUAUGGUAGAGGUUGGUGGAACUGCGAGUGUAGAGGUGAAAUUCGUAGAUAUUCGCAAGAACACCGGUGGCGAAGGCGGCCAACUGGACCAUUACUGACGCUGAGGCGCGAAAGCGUGGGGAGCAAACAGG
rnacentral:rRNA from 1 species